rnacentral:rRNA from 1 species
UACGUAGGGCGCAAGCGUUAUCCGGAAUUAUUGGGCGUAAAGAGCUCGUAGGCGGUUUGUCGCGUCUGCUGUGAAAGUCCGGGGCUCAACUCCGGAUCUGCGGUGGGUACGGGCAGACUAGAGUGAUGUAGGGGAGACUGGAAUUCCUGGUGUAGCGGUGAAAUGCGCAGAUAUCAGGAGGAACACCGAUGGCGAAGGCAGGUCUCUGGGCAUUAACUGACGCUGAGGAGCGAAAGCAUGGGGAGCGAACAGA